ensembl:lncRNA
AAAACACACACACACACCAUAUAUUUUAGAAGAGGGAAAGAAAGAACUGGUGAAAAUAGAACAUGGCACUAGGACAAAGAGAGCUGGGCUUGUUCAUGUGCGUUACUGAGUUUAUUACUAUGACUAAGAGCCAAGGUCUUUGGGGAUCAGGGGAGUCAGGCUCCAUCUUUGGUUCCAGGACAAAGACGUCUCUCCCUGGGCAUAUAAGACAAUGAUGGCCCAGUUCCCACAGCUGUUAAUGGUGACAAAUUUUUAUAAAGACUACAGUAAAAAAAAGAUCACAUUGAACACAAAAUGUGAAUACCAGCUUGAAGCAAGAAUCCAUCAUGGAGCAGAUAUACUUGUUAAAAGCAGCCAAAUCGGAGGCCACAGAGAGGACAGGGAUCUGUUUUAUGCAAGGCUAGGAAACCUGAAGUGCCUUUAAGGUGUACGUGAUCUGGGAAUUGCAGUCCAUGGCGGCCAUGUUUGUAGGCCGCAGUGCAGGAUGAGAAAUGGAGUUUGUGGCAAGCACCUGGGCUUUGCUUGUGUUGGCACAGGAUAUAAAAAAGGAAAAAGCAUCACUUUGCUCUGAAAGAGGAAUCCUACAGAGCGAGGCAAGAGUACACAGUGAGUAUACACAUCCAUUACAUGACUCAGCAGAUCUACUGUAAGAGCUAAGAC